rnacentral:rRNA from 1 species
GACGAACGCUGGCGGCGUGCUUAACACAUGCAAGUCGAGCGGUAAGGCCCUUUCGGGGGUACGACGAGCGGCGAACGGGUGAGUAACACGUGGGUGACCUGCCCUCCAGCUCUGGGAUAAGCCUGGGAAACCGGGUACUAAUACUGGAUAUGACUCCAUGACGCAUGUUGGUGGGGUGGAAAGCCUUGUGCGGCUGAGGAUGGGCCCGCGGCCUAUCAGCUUGUUGGGUGGGGUGA